rnacentral:rRNA from 1 species
CCCUUAGAUGUCCUGGGCCGCACGCGCGUUACACUGAUGCAUUCAACGAGCUUAUAACCUUGGCCGAGAGGCCUGGGCAAUCUUGUUAACGUGCAUCGUGAUAGGGAUAGAUUAUUGAAAUUAUUAAUCUUGAACGAGGAAUUCCUGGUAAACGCAGAUCAUCAAUCUGCAUUGAUUACGUCCCUGCCCUUUGUACACACCGCCCGCCGCACCUACCGAUUGGAUGGUCCGGUGAAGCCUCGGGAUUGUGGUUCUUGCCGCUUUAUUGUGGCGUGACCGCGAGAACUUGUCUAAACCUUAUCAUCUAGAGGAAGGUGAAGUCGUAACA